rnacentral:rRNA from 1 species
AGCAGCCGCGGUAAUUCCAGCUCCAAUAGCGUAUAUUAAAGUUGUUGCAGUUAAAAAGCUCGUAGUUGAAUUUCGGGAUCAGUAUGUUGGUCGUGCUUCGGUACGUACUGUCAUUACUGGUCUCUCCCUUCUGAAGAACCUUGAUGUCAUUAAUUUGGUGUCUUGGGGAAUCAGGACUGUUACUUUGAAAAAAUUAGAGUGUUUAAAGCAGGCAUACGCUUGAAUACAUUAGCAUGGAAUAAUGAAAUAGGACGUUUGAUUCUAUUUUGUUGGUUUCUAGGAUCGACGUAAUGAUUAAUAGGGAUAGUUGGGGGCAUUAGUAUUCAAUUGUCAGAGGUGAAAUUCUUGGAUUUAUUGAAGACUAACUACUGCGAAAGCAUUUGCCAAGGAUGUUUUCAUUAAUCAAGAACGAAAGUUAGGGGAUCGAAGACGAUCAGAUACCGUCGUAGUCUUAACCAUAAACUAUGCCGACUAGGGAUCGGAUGAUGUUAUUUUUAAUGA